rnacentral:lncRNA from 1 species
GCUGGGUUCUGAAUGAUAAGUAGGAGUUCUCCAGAUGAAAACCAAGGGCAAGAGCAGCACAUCAAAGAUGCUGCACCCCAAGGGGCUGUUGAUGAUCUAAUGCCUCCAGAAAUUGUAAAUGUGUGGAUUUCUGACAAGCAUCUUGCACCCGAAACUCCAUCCAUCUUAGCAUCUGCUUCCUGGAGACCCAGCAGGCUACAUCAGCUUUCUUCAUUCAGUGGCUAUAGAUGGAGUGUGGAUAACAUAUAAAUGUUCUGAGUUCUGAGCACAUGGACUAGUGGAACAAGAAGACCUGAAAACCAGUAACCCCCAGAAGGACGUAACGCCUGGAAAGACCCUAUGUCCAAAUAUGCUGACAUUCGGAGAUGAGUGCUCAGAAGAAGCCUGUGGUGACCCAGAUGGGUCCAUGGAGCAUGGCUAUGUGUGGGCCCAGGAUGCCCAGAUUCCAGUCUGAACUCCUUCAGGCAAUGAUGGAUGCACUCGUGAGGGCUGCUGUCACCAAGGACGUAGAGCUGAGGCUCUGGCCAGCAGCAGUCUUGGCUCAUGUUCCGGAGGAGAGAAGUUUGGGCUCCAUGAAUGGCUUCCUGCAAAGCUAUGAGGGGGAUCCAGUCCUGUCCCCUCCUCUAGCUCUGAAGAUUGUGCAAUCACUGCUGUCAUCAGAUGCAGAAACCCCACCUUCAGCCUCGUCUGUGUGUGGGGGGGUGUGCAUAUGUGCACGUGUGUGUGUAUGUGACUGUGUGUGUUUCUGUGUUCAAAUUCACCUUUAGAAAAGAACACCAGUCAUAUCAGAUUAAGGGCCUGCUACAGUUUAGAUAUACGAUGUCCCCCAAAAGUGGAGCUUUUGGAAGAUGAGUGCAUCACGAGGGCACUGUGCUAGUGAGUGGAUUCAUCUGUUGAUGAGUUAGAGUCUGGGUGAGCUAUUAGGAGAGAGGGACUGGUUGAAUGGGUUAGGUCACAAAGUGAGUGUGACCUGAAAGUGUGUGUUCUUGUCUCUAUCUCUUUCCUUCUCUCUCUGCUUCCUGGCUGCCAUAAAUUAAGCAGUUUCCCACCAUGACACCCUUCCACCAUGAUGUGUCUGCCUUGGAGCCACUGACAUGGACUGGAUCCUCUAAAACUGUGAGCCAAAAUAAGCCUCAUCUCCUUUAAGUUGUGG